GCCAGUGUGGUUUAGUGGUUUGAGUAUUGGACUACAACUCUGGAAACCAGAGUUGAAUCCCUGCUCAGCCA